UUAUUUUUUUGUACGAAUAGUCUUCAGAUCUUUUUCAGUUGAUGUCAAUCCAAACUUUAAUCAUGAGUCUAUCACAAUAUUGUUGAAGUACAUAAAACAAGGAAUUGAUUUAUUUAUAAUCGAGUUAGGAAAAUUUUAAACUACAAACAUAACAUAGUUACACAGAAUUGUAUCAAAAUAUCAUUAUUGUUGUUAUAUGUAUUCAUUUA
rnacentral:sRNA from 1 species